rnacentral:rRNA from 1 species
AGUGAACGCUGGCGGUAUGCCUAACACAUGCAAGUCGAACGGCAGCACAGUAAGAGCUUGCUCUUACGGGUGGCGAGUGGCGGACGGGUGAGGAAUACAUCGGAAUCUACUUUUUCGUGGGGGAUAACGUAGGGAAACUUACGCUAAUACCGCAUACGACCUACGGGUGAAAGCAGGGGAUCUUCGGACCUUGCGCGAUUGAAUGAGCCGAUGUCGGAUUAGCUAGUUGGCGGGGUAAAGGCCCACCAAGGCGACGAUCCGUAGCUGGUCUGAGAGGAUGAUCAGCCACACUGGAACUGAGACACGGUCCAGACUCCUACGGGAGGCAGCAGUGGGGAAUAUUGCGCAAUGGGCGCAAGCCUGAUCCAGCAAUACCGCGUGGGUGAAGAAGGCCUUCGGGUUGUAAAGCCCUUUUGUUGGGAAAGAAAAGCAGCAGGUUAAUCCACCGAUGUCUUGACGGUACCCAAAGAGUAAGCCACGGCUAACUUCGUG